AGUGUCUCGUUUGCAGUCGGCGCGUUAGGGGAACUGUCUUCCUCCGCAGGCGCGAGGCUGGGUACAGGGUCUAUUGUCUGUGGUUGACUCCGUACUUUGGUCUGAGGCCGUCGGGAGCUUUCCCGAGGCAGUUAGCAGAAGCCGCAGCGGCCGCCCCCGCCCGUCUCCUCUGUCCCUGGGCCCGGGAGGGACCAACUUCGCGUCACGCCCCUCAGCGGUGGCCACUCUCUUCUCUGUCGUUGGGUCCGCAUCGUAUUCCCGGAAUCAGACGGUGCCCCAUAGAUGGCCAGCUUUCCCCCGAGGGUCAACGAGAAAGAGAUCGUGAGAUCACGUACUAUAGGUGAACUUUUAGCUCCUGCAGCUCCUUUUGACAAGAAAUGUGGUCGUGAAAAUUGGACUGUUGCUUUUGCUCCAGAUGGUUCAUACUUUGCUUGGUCACAAGGACAUCGCACAGUAAAGCUUGUUCCGUGGUCCCAGUGCCUUCAGAACUUGUAAGACUGUUACUUUUCUGUAUUUUGUAUCUGUUUGUGGAAUUUACCAUUUU
rnacentral:sRNA from 1 species